UUCGCCCUUUUCCGGUUGAUCCUGCCGGAGGUUACUGCUAUCGGUGUUCGACUAAGCCAUGCGAGUCAAAUGUUCUUCGUGAACAUGGCGGACUGCUCAGUAACACGUGGAUAACCUGCCCUUAGGUUCGGCAUAACUCCGGGAAACUGGAGAUAAUUCCGAAUAGGUCAAAUAUGCUGGAAUGCUUUUUGGCCAAAAGAUCUCGGUUGCCUAAGGAUGGAUCUGCGGUCUAUCAGGUUGUAGUGGGUGUAACGUACCUACUAGCCUACGACGGAUAUGGGUUGUGAGAGCAAGAGCCCAGAGAUGGAUUCUGAGACAUGAAUCCAGGCCCUACGGGGCGCAGCAGGCGCGAAAACUUUACAAUGCGGGAAACCGCGAUAAGGGGACACCGAGUGCCAGCAUUUAUGUUGGCUGUCCACAUGUGUAAACGGCAUGUGUUAGCAAGGGCCGGGCAAGACCGGUGCCAGCCGCCGCGGUAACACCGGCGGCCCGAGUGGUAAUCACUUUUAUUGGGUCUAAAGGGUCCGUAGCCGGUUUGAUCAGUUCUUCGGGAAAUCUGACAGCUCAACUGUUAGGCUUCCGGGGAAUACUGUCAGACUUGGGACCGGGAGAGGUAAGAGGUACUACAGGGGUAGGAGUGAAAUCUUGUAAUCCCUGUGGGACCACCAGUGGCGAAGGCGUCUUACCAGAACGGGUCCGACGGUGAGGGACGAAAGCUGGGGGCACGAACCGGAUUAGAUACCCGGGUAGUCCCAGCCGUAAACGAUGUUCGCUAGGUGUCAGGG
rnacentral:rRNA from 1 species